UGAGCAUCAAGUUGUUGGUUAGAAGUGAAUCCAGCCUGCAGAAGUUUAACUUUGGCUGGAGAGAAGAAAAACUGGAGCCCUAGUUGGUUCUUUGAAGGUCAUAUGCUGGUAGCUUGGCCCUCGGUAUGCUGAUGUUGAGAGGCAGUGAGGCCUAUGUGGAAGGUGUCUAAGUCAUCGAGGCAUCGCCCUUAGAAGUGAUCAAUGCUGGUUUUGUGGAGUGAGCUCUCAGGCGCAUCAGUUAAUCUGUCUGAUCUCUUCCGCACAGGGCUGCUUCUCCUCCUCCUUAUCUGCCAUGCUAUGAUGAAGCAAGAGGAGCCUUGGCUGGGAAUGCCAGUACAAUGGUCCUAGGCUUCUGAGUCAAAU
rnacentral:lncRNA from 1 species